rnacentral:lncRNA from 1 species
CAAAAACAACAUCUAAUCCCCCGUAAGACAAGAUUUGUGCAGAAAUGAUUUGUGGUCUCUGCACAAAAGCAACAUCAUGGGUUUUGGUUAUUUCCUUGGCCAUGUUGGGGGAGGAUACAACCACUGCAGAAAUCUCACCAAGUUGGAGGUGCAUGAGAGGUCCAUAUAUAUGAGCAAGUUUUUGAAGUGCACGAUGUGGGAGUGAACCUGCUACUGCUAGUUGAUGCAUGUUUCCUAUGAGAGGUAGCUUUUUUGGACCAGGGGGAAGUUUGUGAGCAACAUUAGGUUUUAGCUUGAGAUAUUUUGCAAGCCAAUUCAGUAGAAUGAAGAGGGAUAAGGCAAUAACCAAGAAGUAGGUUUGAGCUUCCAUAUAUGGCUUUAUUAUAGAGUCAGCUCUCAAGGGUUUUAUUGUUGUUUGUCGAUGGCUGGUUCGGUUCCUAUUUAUAGAAUCUUCAAUCCGCAAGGAAAUUUCGAUCUAUCUAUCAUUUUUAAACCACUCAACGUACUCUUAUAUUCUUUUCAAAUAUCACUUACGUUCAAUAUCCUCCUUUUUUACGCUACAUACGAAAUGCUUUCAAACCAUUUAGACUUUAGAGAGGAUGUUUUCACAUCAAUUAUUUCAAAGUAAACGAUAUAAUAUUAUUUUCAUAUUAAUGAUAUAAAAAUAUAAACAAAUGUUAAAACUCUUAAUUUUAAAAUAUUAAUUUAAUUAAUAAAAUCAUAGUAAUUUACAGUAUAUUGUACACUUAAUGAUAAAUGAAAAAAGUUAAGUGAAUAGUAUUUUCAAUAAUCAAGGGAAGUAAAUUUUUUUAAUUGAAUAACUAACUAAAAUAGAUUGAAUUACUUAAAAUUGAGUUUUCUAUAAACAACAAUUUUUUAUGAUUAAAAAAAUAUCUCAAUUAAAACUAUUAAACUAAAAUUUAAUUGACACAAAAAUAAGUUUAAAUAAAAAAAUAUAAAAAUGGGGGUCAUCUAAAGGUUAUUUAAAAUUAUAUCAAUUAUGGGGGCAAUUAUGGGGGAUCAAGCUAAAGGGAAAGUUGUAUCAGACUGCGGUAAGACCAGCGAUUUUGUACGGAACAGUUGGGCGGUCAAGAGCCAACAUGAGAAUAAAGUAGGUGUAGCGGAGAUGAGGAUGUUGCGGUGGAUGUGUGGUAAGACUCGACAGGAUAAAAUUAAAAACAAAGCUAUUAGAGAGAGGGUUGGAGUAGCGCCUAUUGUAGAGAAGAUGGUGGAAAGUAGACUUAGGUGGUUUGGACAUGUAGAGAGAAGACCGGUAGACUCUGUAGUGAGGAGAGUAGACCAGAUGGAGAGAAGGCAAACAAUUCGAGACAGAGAAAGACCCAAAAAGACUAUAAGAGAGGUUAUCAAAAAGGAUCUCGAACUUAAUGAUUUGGAUAGAAGUAUGGUACUUGAUAGAACAUUAUGGCGGAAGUUGAUCCAUGUAGCCGACCCCACCUAGUGGGAUAAGGCGUUGUUGUUGUUGUAUGGGGGACAAUUAAUAAAAGAUAAGAAAUUUAAAAUGAGUUGUUUAAAUUGUACCAAUUAAAAAAGCACUAGCAUGAUAAAAUUAUAUUUAGAUUCAUAUUCAUAAAAAUUAAAUAAAUAUCACUUGUUUAAUAUAUUUUUAAAUGAUAAACAUGAAUUUUAAACAUGACUUAUCAUAUUCAUGGAAUUAGAAAAUGUGUUCCAUAUAUAAUAUUUAUUAAAAUAAUUAUAAACAUAAAAUUUAAACUUAACUUCUCAUAUCCAUGAAAUAAAAAAAAUGUAUUUCAUUUUAAUACUUAUUAAAAAUGAUAAGCAUAAAAUUAUAUUAUAUAAUGUCAUAUUCAUGAAAAUAGAAAGUGUACUUCAUGCUUUUAAUUAAAAAUGAUAAACGCUAAUUAAAUUUAAAAAAACUAUAAUAUCCACGAAAUAAGAAAAUGUGUUUCAUAUUUUAUGGUUCCAUCCAUAUCGGCCUGGACGAUAUCAUUCUAGGACCAAAUCAGCAAAUUGCAAAAUAUGUUCAUUCUUUUUUUUUUUACCAAACAAAAUAUGUUGAUUCUUAAUUACCAUACAAGUUACAACAAAGACAUGCAUGUGGAAAAACAAGAACUUUUCUAAUGGCAUGAUGAUAUAAAUUAUAUUUUAAUUCUAUUUGUUUAAAUAUCUAAUAAUAAUUAUUAUUAUAAAUAUAUAAAAUGUUUUUAAAUUACUAUUUUUUUUCUGAAUGAAAAAAAUACAAAUUUAAAUUUGAAUGCAUACAGAAAAUUAUCAAUUACAAAUUUAAAUGUGCUUAUUAAAGAUAGUGUGCCAAGAAUUAAUCCUUAAAAAUAUUAAGAUAAGAGAUUGAUAUUUUUUAAUGAAUAUUUUUCAUACACAUAAACUUAGAAUCAAAGUUUUUACCGCAUACUUAAGGGACAACUAGACAAUGUUACGUUAAACAUGUCCACAUAUUUAAUAUAUACAAGUCUUAUUUAAAUAAAUCUUCCAACUGAUUUUAUACGUAAAUUGUACUUGUUAAAUAUAAUUUUUUAAAUUUCUUAACAGUAUUUUAUAUAAUUAUAUACUUCAAAUACUAUUAAAUAAAUUUCAUUAUAUUUUGUGAGUUGUAUUUCAUAAAUACGACUUAGCUUAUACAAUUUUUCAUAAAAAGAAAUAGAUAAAUGACAAUUUCUUAAAUAUAAUUUAAUGUAUUUUUAUAAGUAAAAAUAUGUAAUUAAAUUCUAUCUUACGUAUUAGAAAGAUUUUAAAUAUAUUUUCAUAAAUUUAUAACAUAAACUUUUAUAUAAUAAAAAAUUAUUAAUGAAUAUUGAAUUAAUUUAUUUAUUUAUCCAAACUCUCCUCCUUAAGGGACAGUUGACCGUUUACCCAGUAUUAUUUAUUUAUUUUUAUAAGUUUUUCAACUGGUUGGAGUACCUGGGAACGAGAUAAUUCAACCACAUAUCUUAUCCGCUUUUAAAUAAAUUAGUUACGAUUUGACAGGUGAAAGUGAAACUAUGUUUUUUGGGCAACAAAGUCACCUAAACAUUAAAAAGUCAAAACGUCCCGUAACCAUAAUUUAUAAAUGAAGUUGACACGUAUCAUAUACAAAAGUUCCUCCUUGAAUUCCACGGUGUUUAAUCUAUUUACCCAGUCCAGUCAAUGUUUCUCCAUAAUGAAACAUCUAUUUGUAUUGACCGGUAGCCAUGCUAAAAAAUAAUAAUUAUUUAAUGAAAAAUAUUGAAUCUUAGAACCAUUUUUAUUGAUAUAACUUUUAUCCAAUAAAAUUUAACGGCUUAAAUUACAACUUAUUCUCUAGUAUCUUAUUUUUAGUUUUAGUUCUUCUGUUAUUUUUUUUGUAAGUCCUUGUAAAAAUUUAAAAAAUUAUAAUUUUAGUUUCGACUAAUAACAUUAAUUGAUAUAAUAGUUACAAUAACAUCUUAUUUAUUGAUUUGUCAGUCAUCAACAAAUCAAACCAGUAAUCACAUGUAAUUUUUCUGUUUUUAAUAUAAUUUUUAAUUCUUCAUCAUUUGAUUAGUAUCACAUUUUUGAAUAAAUGAAGAUUUGGAAUCAUGAUUUACAAAAUAAAUUACUCCUAAUUAUCCUAUUAAGUUUCUUAAUAACACAAUAAAUUAAUGAAUUGUCAAUGUCAUUAAUCAAUAUUAUUACUUAACAGCAAAAUUAAAAAAAUUCAAUAACUAAAAUUAAAUAAAUCUUUAAAAGACUAAAAAUAUAAUAUUUUAUAAGAACCAAAUUAUUAUAAAAAGUAAAUGAUAAUAAUAAUAAUAAUAACUCUUUUAGAAUGAUCUCUUGUAAUAAGUAGAUCCUCUCUUUAGUAGUAGGUGUGCAUGCAUGUGCUCCUAACUGGUUUCACUUAGAUAAUUGGCAUAUUUCUAUUUAGUCUUUUUAACAACAUUAUAUGACACUAACUAAUAAUGAAAGAACUUAAUUAAAUGAUAUAAUUUACAACUUUAGAAAUGAUUUUUGUUGAUUUUUUUUAUUUUAGAUACCAAUUUAAUCAUGAUUAUAGUUUCAGGAACUAAAAUAAUUGGCCAUUUAAACUUUCAAAUAAUAUUUUGCUAUUUUAUUAAUUUCCUAAACCAAUUUAACUAACCGUUAUAAUUUUAAAGGUUGAAUUAAUUAUUCACUCUUUAAAAAUUUAUAUCCGACGCGAAGAUUAAUUUGAACGAAUCCGUGGUAUUACACUAUUGAGUUUUCUUUUCAAUUUGCAGUCAAAAUAUUUUUUUUCUUUUUCUUAUAUAUAGAAAGCUUUCUAGAAAACUUGCAUUAUGCAUAUUUUAAUAUUAUGUUUUGUAUGUAUUAGAGCAGAUUUUGAAUUUAGGUUCAAUAUUGUCUAUUCUUUUUUUUUUUUAGUAUUCAAUGCCUAUUUUUAAACAUUAUUAGGCUAGUUGCACAUUCUAUACGUUGAAAGAUAUUAAAUUUUGUGUCACAUAUAUUAAUGAGCUUUAACUUUUGUCAUGUAUAAAUUCCUAUAUAUGCAUAUGUUUAAAAAAAAGUCAAUACAUAUUUUCAAAUUGAUGUAUGAAAAUGACAAGUUGGUGCGUUUUCUUUCCUAAGAUUUAAUCAAGGAUAAAUUAGAAAAUGAUCAAAUUAAUUGGAAUGAGUUAAGUCAUUUCAUUUCUUAAUAAAUAAAAGAUAAUGGUUGAUGUAUCAAAUUAAAAAAAAAAAAAAGAAGAUAAUGUUGGCUUAAGAUACAAUCAAUUCAAAGAAUGUUAACUUUAUUAUUAAUAUAACGAAAAGUAAAUUGAGUGAUGCGUACUCAAAUGACCAUUCCCAUUUCAUUGCAUGUAUAAAAAUAAAAGAUGAUAAUGGCUUAAGAUACAUUCAAUUCAUGGAAUGUUUAUUUUAUGAUUUAGUGAAAAGUAAAUAGAGUUACUCGUAAAUGUAAGCUCUAUCAUUGCUAUUGAUUCUCUCUGACCAACGACACAAACUCAUCUUGGUCCUCAGAUUUGUUUCCAAACGCUGCCAGUAGUGCUUAACAAAUUAAGAGAAAAUUCUGCUGGUAAGAUUGAUUGGUGAGCCUGCUAUUUUCGAAUGGAGUCUAUAAUUUUUUGUCUCAUCUUCUAAUAAAUAAGAGAAAGAUUAGACUCUCUCGGCACUUAGAAGCUCUAACACACGUACAUUUUUUUCUCAUUUGCCUCUAAUAAUCACCACCAUAUGGAGCAAAAGCAAUAUUUGUUGCCCCAUAGGCCAAAGUUUGAGGAGAGAGAAGUUGUGGCUGCACAAAAGCAAGAUCGUGGGUUUUCAUUAUCUCCUUGGCCACCAUCUUGGGGAGGAUACAAUUAAUCACUGCAGAAAUUUCACAUAGUUGCAGGUGCAUGAGAGGUUCAUAUUUAUGAGCAAGUUCUCGAAGAGCAUGAUAUUGAAGUGAACCUGCCACUGUUAGCAAGUUGAUGCAGGUUCCUAUGAGAGGUAACUUCCUUGGGCCUGGGGACAAUGUGUGACUGGAUUUUGACUUGUACUUUUUAAUGAGCCAAUGCAAGAGCAAGAACAAAAAGAAGGUAUAAUAACAAUGCGUAAUUUUAUUAUUCUACCAGUUAAUUUAAUCUUUAAUAUUAAGAUUUAUAAAUUGUAAAUCAUCAAUUAAUUUAAUCUUUAAAAUUGUAAUGAGUAAUAAAAUCGGUCCCUAAUUUUUUUUUUUAAAAAAAUCUUCAACUAUAAAUCAUCAAUCAAUUUAAUCUAACGUCAUUAAAUGAGUAGAGGAAUAGUAAAGACGCGUUAGGAUGGGAAAAACUAAUUAUUAUUCUACCAAUUUAAGGUCAUUUUUAUUCAUGUGACGUAAGUGAAACUAGUUUCUUCAAAAAAAAAAAAAAAAAACUAAGUGAAACUAUAGUUGGUUUGUUACUUAACUAACAUUUAAUUCAUUUCAGUCUUUUUGACAAAAUUAGGUGAUACUAAUUAAUAACGAGAGAACUAAGUUAGUUGAUAAUUUACAAUUUUAGGAGUCAUUUUAUUAUAUUUUUAAAGUUCAGACAAUAAUUUUAAUGGCUAAAUUAAUCAUCCACUCUUUAAAAAUUUAUAUUCCAAGAUUUGAACGAGUCCUUGGUAUUACACUAUUAUGUAAUUUUUUUAAGUCAAAAUGUAUACGUAAUUAAAAUUUUCAAGAUAACAAUAUUUACCAUAGAAUAAAAUUAAAAUAAAUAUUCUUAUGGUAUGAGCAUUUAUUAGAGGAUAAAAUUAAAAUAAAUAUUCUUAUGAUGGGAGCAUUUACAAUAACAGAAAGGUUGGUCAUUGGUAAGGAACACAACUCCCAAACAUCAAGUAUGAACUUUGAUAUGAAGUAGGUCAUUCAUAUUAUUGAUGCAUGUAAAAAAAAAUCCUCCAUGUGUUGCUAUGCAUUAAUGCUCUAUAUUUGCUAGCAUUGAGAUAGCUAAUAAAUGAGAUGGAAGGGACAAAAGUGUGAAAACGAGGAAACUUGCAUUGUUUUGGUAGCAAGAAAAUAAAGAGGAAUUAUUCAGAGAAUUUUAAUUUCUCAUCUUUUAGAAGGAAAUUGAAAUUCCACAUUUUUAGUUAUUUAAAAUUCUGUUUUAAAAUUCAAAAAAUUUUAAUUCUUUAUAAAAAAAUCCAAACAAUGAAUUUUAAAAUACAAAAUUUUAAAUUCUCUUAUAAAUUAUUUUUCUCAGUUAAAUUUUUUUAUCCAAAUAUACUCUUAGCUUAUUUUUAGCUUGGAUUCUUUUGUUGGUCGGGACUCUUUAUUUUUACGUUAUUUUAUUCAGAGUCUAAUGGAUAAUAUUGUAUGCUUGCAUUAUCAUGGACUGGCUUUUUAUUUAAAAUUCGGGAGUGGUUUUGUUUUUGUUUUUGUUUUGUUAUGCAUACAUGGGUCUCAUGCCCCGUUACAUAAUUCAUUUUUUUUAGUGCCUUUUAUAAUUUUGCUCGAAGCCCGUUUCCAUAAGAGCAUAACAUAAUUGAUUAGGCUCAAUAGCGGUGUUUGUAAUGGACUUAUCUUUUUUUAAAAAAACAUUUUAUAAAUUAUAUACAACAAAUAUUUUUAAUUUACUUCAAUUAUUAAAAAAUUAUAUAUUUUUAUUAUAUAGUGAAAAUGAUUAUACAUCUAAAUUUUAUAUUAAUUGUGUAUGAUAUAAAUGUUUAUACCAAUUUAAAUGAGUUUACCAUUUCAAUAUUAUAUAAAUAUUAAAACUUUAGACUAUAUAUCACUAUUAAUAUAUUUAAUAACACAAAUUAGCUUUAUAUUAAAUGGAUAAUUAUUUAAAUUAAUUAUAAAAUAGCUUUAUUUCCUUUCAAGUAUGUUAAAAGAAAAAUGUGUAUAAGAAAAGAAUAUUAAAAAAAUGGUGUACAAAUGUAUUAUACAAUGAAUAGUAAAAACUUCACCCUUGUAAAAAAAAUCAUCGUAAUGAUAGUCAAAUAUUAUUGAUUAUAGAUUCAGUAACAAGCAAAAAAUUACAUCAAACAAGACUCCCCAAAGUGUAAAGAUAUCUCAAUAGACAUGCACUACAAAUAUUAUCACUGUGUGGCUUUUCUUUUAGUUUCUUUGCGCCUUGGGUUCCUUUAUUCUCUGUAACUUUUUUAUUCUGAAUAUCAUUGGUACUCUUAUUGAAUCUCCUUUGGCCUAUUAAAAAAAAAUACAUGUAUCAUGAAGCUUCAUAAAUAGUGGGAAUCAAAAACAACUUGUUUUUCCUUACAACUGUCAGUCCGAAGAGUUCAUCCAUAUCCAAAUCCGCAGGUUUCAUCUUAUUUGGGAGUUCCCAAUUAAAGUGAUAGAGUAAUAAAGCCAAUGGAAGCGUAAUGCUAGCCAAACCAAAUGUAAUGCC